rnacentral:tRNA from 1 species
ACAUCGGUAGCACAGUGGUCAGUGCAGUCUGCCGUAGACAGAAGGACGCGGGUUCAAUUCCCGUCUGGUGUC